UAGUUUCAGAAAAAUAUGUUCAAAUGAAUGCACAAAGUUGAUAUGUUCAAAUAAAUGCACAAAGUGGACGCCAGAAGAACGUUGGGAUGAUUAUUUAAAAAGAAAAGUAUGGCGAAUGGUUUGCGAAAAUCAAGAAAUUAAAUGUUGUACGGGGUAUGAAGGCCCGCAAUGUGAAAAAGAAUGCUUUAACUGUGACAGAAUAAACGGUUCUGAAAGAAGAUUUAUUGAAAUUUACGGAAAA